UACCUGCGGAGGGAUCAUUACACAAAUAUGAAGGCGGGCUGGAACCUCUCGGGGUUACAGCCUUGCUGAAUUAUUCACCCUUGUCUUUUGCGUACUUCUUGUUUCCUUGGUGGGUUCGCCCACCACUAGGACAAACAUAAACCUUUUGUAAUUGCAAUCAGCGUCAGUAACAAAUUAAUAAUUACAACUUUCAACAACGGAUCUCUUGGUUCUGGCAUCGAUGAAGAACGCAGCGAAAUGCGAUAAGUAGUGUGAAUUGCAGAAUUCAGUGAAUCAUCGAAUCUUUGAACGCACAUUGCGCCCUUUGGUAUUCCAAAGGGCAUGCCUGUUCGAGCGUCAUUUGUACCCUCAAGCUUUGCUUGGUGUUGGGCGUCUUGUCUCUAGCUUUGCUGGAGACUCGCCUUAAAGUAAUUGGCAGCCGGCCUACUGGUUUCGGAGCGCAGCACAAGUCGCACUCUCUAUCAGCAAAGGUCUAGCAUCCAUUAAGCCUUUUUUUCAACUUUUGACCUCGGAUCAGGUAGGGAUACCCGCUGAACUUAAGCAUAUCAUAGGCCCGAAGGAAA
rnacentral:rRNA from 1 species